ensembl:snoRNA
AUCCUUUUGUAGUUCACAAGCCUGAUGAUUGGGUUUCAUGCACUUGGAUGAGAUGCACCUCCCUCAAACCUGGUGUUACAACAUAGGCACAUUAUUUGUCUGACA